GACGAACGCUGGCGGCGUGCUUAACACAUGCAAGUCGAACGAAGUGGCGAACGGGUGAGUAACGCGUAAUCAACCUGCCCUUCAGAGGGGGACAACAGUUGGAAACGACUGCUAAUACCCCAUACUGAAGGAGGGGAUUGCGUCGGAUUAGCUAGUUGGAGGGGGAAUGGCCCACCAAGGCGAUGAUCAGUAGCCGGUCUGAGAGGGUGAACGGCCACAUGUGGACUGGGACACGGCCCAGAACCCUACGGGAGGCAGCAGUGGGGAAUCUUCCGAAAUGGAGGGAAGGCUGACGGAGCAACGCCGCGUGAGUGGUGACGGCCUUCGGGUUGGAAAGCUCUGUUAAUCGGGACGCGGUACCGGAAUAGAAAGCCACGGCUAACUACGUGCCAGCAGCCGCGGUAAUAC
rnacentral:rRNA from 1 species